AAAGUAAAAGGAUUAAUUUGAAAGCGCGAAUUACAUAGAGAGGGCUGGAAGGGAAAUUUUCCCUUCUCCUCUAAAACGACGCCGUUCAACUUAGACCCAAUUGAAAUAAAAAUAAAUAAAAGGGUAAAUUAAGAAAAAUAAAAAUAAAAAAAAACUUAAUUACAAAAACAUUAAAACGCGGAGGGGCUAAAUAAAAUAAAUAAAUAAAAUUCGCAGUGGUAUCACCUUCUCCCCCUUUUUAAAAUCGUAAAUAAGUAAAAAAAUAAUCGAAAGAAAAAAAAUAGUAAGCCACCUUUAAAAAACUGCCAAUCGUUCUCUUUUU
rnacentral:lncRNA from 1 species